AUGGGUUCCCGAUUGUUCCUAGAUAUUUCAGAGCAACUAGAGUGGUCUUACCUGACAAGCUCCAAUGUUGUGCUGAAGUAUUUUGAACAAGCUUGUCCUUUGCCUUAUGCUGGAACAAGGCACCUUCUAUUCCCCAUGGGCACCAAGAAUGCGAAAACAUUGAUGAUUCGAGCAAAUGGCGAGAUAAAAGAUAUGCUUUCUGUUUGUGCUGAGCAUGGAGCUUGGGUAGUGAUAGACACCUUCUCUGGUCUGGAGUUCCACAACAGAGAUGGCUGGAUUUUGCGGAACGGACACUCGAGAGCUGUGGUUGGGAUGUCGCCAGGGUGGAUGAUUUUGAAGGCGAGCUCGACAGCUGCAAUAUCAGGGAAGCCCUACUGA
rnacentral:rRNA from 1 species